rnacentral:tRNA from 1 species
UAAGAAUUAGUUAAAUUAAAUUAUAACAUUAAAAUGUCAAUUUAAAAUUAUUUACUUAAAAUAAAUAUUCUUAU